rnacentral:rRNA from 1 species
UACGGAGGGUGCAAGCGUUGUCCGGAAUUAUUGGGCGUAAAGGGCUCGUAGGCGGUCCAUCGCGUCGGGAGUGAAAAGCUGGGGCUUAACCCCAGUCCUGCUUCCGAUACGGGUGGACUAGAGGUAGGUAGGGGAGAUCGGAAUUCCUGGUGUAGCGGUGAAAUGCGCAGAUAUCAGGAGGAACACCGGUGGCGAAGGCGGCAUCCUGGACCGGCAUUGACGCUGAGGAGCGAAAGCCAGGGGAGCAAACGGG